AGAAUUACAUUUUGUUUUGUGUUUGGUUUCAAUGUUGGGUGUUUCAAGUGAUAAACAAAUGAUGGUAUAAGGGAAGUUUCCUUGAGUUGAAAACAAAUGUCAUAUAUUCAAAUAUAUUUUAAAGAAAAUAAAUAGAAUAAUGUUAAUGAAAAUACUUACAAUUAUAAAGGCAUUUUUAAAUUUAUGAAUUGUUAUAUUUUCCAGCAUCUAAAAACAUUUAUUGUUUGUGUAUUACAUGUACCAAUUUUUGGGCAAUGCAGACAACAUAUUUAUUUUUAGGUUAGGUUAUUUUAGCAUAGGUGACAUAUAGAUGUUUGUAAACAAACUUGUUAAUGAGUUGGUAGUAUGAUAAUUGACCUAACCUAACCCCAAAAUUAAUAAUUACUUUGCUUUUAAUAAUUUUCUAAAACUCACAGAAUGUUCCUUUAUAACGUACCAUCGUUUCUUUAUACCAUUUUAGGUAAAGCCUGUAUAUAUUUAAAUUAAGUUACGUAGGACAAUAGUACGUUAAUGUUUAGUAAAACUCGUAAAUUUCCCUAGUAGCAUCUUUGAAUGAACCUCUCUGAUCUUCAUGCCCCCAUUUUCCGAGGAUAAAAAGAGCGCCGGUGCCGCCUACGGGGCGAAACGCAAGGGCCGCCAUCUUCGGAUCGAUCGCUUGCCCAAGAUAAAUUGCCGAUUGUCGCGCGAUUUCCGAUUGGACGACAUCGUCUCCCACUUCCGAACCAAUUGAAAUUGUAUAAAUUGCCUUGAAUAAAACUCUUAACUAUC